rnacentral:rRNA from 1 species
CCUACGGGAGGCAGCAGUGAGGAAUAUUGGUCAAUGGGAGAGAUCCUGAACCAGCCAAGCCGCGUGAGGGAAGACGGCCCUAUGGGUUGUAAACCUCUUUUGUCGGAGAACAAAACCCGGGACGUGUCCCGGACUGCGUGUAUCCGAAGAAAAAGCAUCGGCUAAAUACGUGCCAGCAGCCGCGGUAAUACGUAUGGUGCAAGCGUUAUCCGGAUUUACUGGGUGUAAAGGGAGCGCAGGCGGCGCGGCAAGUCAGAUGUGAAAGCCCGGGGCUCAACCCCGGGACUGCAUUUGAAACUGCCGGG